UACGUAGGGUCCGAGCGUUGUCCGGAAUUACUGGGCGUAAAGAGCUCGUAGGUGGUUUGUCGCGUUGUUCGUGAAAACUCACAGCUUAACUGUGGGCGUGCGGGCGAUACGGGCAGACUGGAGUACUGCAGGGGAGACUGGAAUUCCUGGUGUAGCGGUGAAAUGCGCAGAUAUCAGGAGGAACACCGGUGGCGAAGGCGGGUCUCUGGGCAGUAACUGACGCUGAGGAGCGAAAGCGUGGGGAGCAAACAGG
rnacentral:rRNA from 1 species